AUGUCCCCGGGGCCUGCGACGGCCCCGGCGGAGGGAGGCAGGGAGACGGCAGAGGUAAGGAGCCCGGCGGCGGGGUGGCCCCUCCGGGGUGGACCCGGCCGCGGGGCGCCCGUUGGCCGUGGCGGCGGGGCGCGGGCGGGCUGGGAGGCAGGGCAGGGAGGCCGGACUCCUCCUCCGGCGAGGCCGGACGUGAACGCCAGGCACACCGCUGGCCCGCGGUGGCUCGGGGUGCGUGGGUCGCCGGCCAGCCCCGCCGCGGCCCCGGCGCUGCCGGGAUGGCCCCCGUCCUGCCUCCCCCAGACCAGUCCCCGCGGGGUCCCCACGGGCGCGGGUGGCCCGCUGUGUGCAAGGGGUCCCCGUGGGGCUCUGCUCCCGGAGCGCUCCGGGAAGGGCACGGGGUGUCCGUGUGUCCGUCCUGCCAGCGCUGUGACCGGGCUGUCGGGGCAGGGUGCCCUGCUCGGGGAGCGUCCGUCCGUCCGUCCGUCCGGGCUGCGUGUCCGCCUGCCCGUCCGCCGGCUCGGGGCUCGGCCGGCGGGCAGGUGGUGGUGGCCGGGGUCGGGCGCCGCCGGGGGUCCCGGUGCCGUUCCCGGCGGGGUGCGAGUCUCCGCGGGAGCUCGGCGGCGGUGCGGGUCCCCGCGCGGAGCCGGUGCUGACGCGGGUCGGGCCGCGGCUCGUGCUGCUGGCGGGACCUCGGUGUCGUCCUGGUCCCGGGGCGGUCCUGGCGCCGGUGCGUGUCGGAGUCCCGGUGCCGCUGCGGUGCGGGGUCCCGCUGCAGAGCGGGGUCCCGGUGCCGGUCCGGAUCCUGGCAGGUGCGGACCGGGGUCCCGGUGCCGGUGCCCGCCCCGCCGGUCAGGUGACGGCGGCUGGAAUUUGACACCGCCGGCGGCGGCGGGAGCGGGAUGGAGCCGCCGCUGCCCCGCACUGCGCGCCCGCCCGCCGCCACUGCAACCCCGAGGCGCAUCGGGACCCGCACCCCGAGGCGCAGCGGGAGCCGCACCGGGAGCAGCGGCGGGAGCCGGUGCCGGCGGGGCAGUGCCGGCCCCCGCCCGCGCCCCGCCCCGGCGCGGCGGCGGCGGGCGGCGGGGGGCGGCGGGGAGCGGAGGCGAUGCGGGGCGGCGGCUGCCCGGGGGAUGGUCCCCGCCGCGGGCACGGUGA
rnacentral:lncRNA from 1 species